rnacentral:rRNA from 1 species
GAUGAACGCUGGCGGCGUGCCUAAUACAUGCAAGUCGAGCGAACGGACGAGAAGCUUGCUUUUCUGAUGUUAGCGGCGGACGGGUGAGUAACACGUGGAUAACCUACCUAUAAGACUGGGAUAACUUCGGGAAACCGGAGCUAAUACCGGAUAAUAUUUUGAACCGCAUGGUUCAAAAGUGAAAGACGGUCUUGCUGUCACUUAUAGAUGGAUCCGCGCUGCAUUAGCUAGUUGGUAAGGUAACGGCUUACCAAGGCAACGAUGCAUAGCCGAGCUGAGAGGGGGAUCGGCCACACUGGAACUGAGCAACGGUCCAGAAUCCUACGGGAGGCGGCAGUAGGGAAUCUUCCGAAAUGGGCGAAAGCCUGACGGAGCAACGCCGCGUGAGUGAUGAAGGUCUUCGGAUCGUAAAACUCUGUUAUUAGGGAAGAACAUAUGUGUAAGUAACUGUGCACAUCUUGACGGUACCUAAUCAGAAAGCCACGGCUAACUACGUG